CAAUUUAAAAUGAAAUCGUGUAAUCCUAUAAAUCUGUAGCGUAAACUAAUGUCCGGCCAAACUAACACAGCCCCACUCUUCGCAAUUACAGAGUACGACAUGAAAGCGAGAGCCCAAAAACCAACAAAAUCGAGAGUUGAGGAUCGCGUGGGAAUAAAUGCCUAACCGCCGGCAAAAAGGAAUGUAACGUAUUUUUCCCACAGCUCCUGCGAACAAGGCCCUUCCCUCUCGCUCACCAGAAUGAUAUGCAUGGGCCUAAAUUAGUUGUUAAUUGUUUUCCCGGCCUCUCUCCACCGACCUUUCCUUUUGGCAUGUGCUCGCGUGAGAACUCAGAAUCGAAAUACUGGAAAAGGGACCAGGAGCGCAGAAAAACUGAAUGGCUGCACAACCUUCCCAGAUACGGCUACUCCUCUCCACCUCGCUUGGCCUGUGGUAGUUGGUCUUAACGAGAUCCUCGAUCGAAACGCUGAACGGAUGUGGGCUCUGUGGAAUUUCUUUUUCGGUGUGUGUUUGCGGAGGGUUUAGUGUCUGUCGGCUGGUCGCGGUUCGCUGUGUCAACAUCGUGUGGGAAAUUCUUGCCCAUUAUCCGUUACAAGAAUAUGUUCUCUGUGAAGACGGAAUGAUCGUGAGAACUUUUUAUGCUCAAGCGGAGAUGUCGACCAGGAAAACAGAAUGCGAGUAAAGGUUGAGCUUAAACUGUGCUACUUUGUGGGCGUUAGAGCGGUCUUGGCAUCCUGAUGAAUCAAACUCUCGCUGCGCAAGAAGCACAAUAAUCUGCAUGCCAAGCCAAAUAAAUGUCUAGCUUUUAUAGUUUUUGAGA